AAUAAAGUGCCUGAUUAAAGGAUUACUCUGAUAGGGUAAAUAAAGUAAUUUAAAAUUACCUUUAUUA
rnacentral:tRNA from 1 species